GCAAGUAGUUUGUAUAUAUAUUUAUAUAUAUAUAAUCUAUUAUAAAGGAAAAAAGUACAGGUUUAGCCUGUUGAUUCUUCAUUUGCAUACUCAUUUCUUUGGAAACUCAAUAUUCAACUUAUUGAGAGCUAUUCAGUAAAAUAAAGUGGUUCAAUUUGAAUGAAAAGGAAUUCAUUUAGUAUUGAAAGCUUUUGAUAUUUCAGGAAUAUAAUCUUAAACUGAGGUGGGGCCUAGUUUAAGCAGAAACUUUGAGAAGCUUUUUAAUUAAGAAAAAGACAAAGUUUGAAAGAGAUAGAGUGUUUUCACUGUUUUAGCUCUGAGUUAAUAAAACAGUGAAGUCUUGCCCAAAGUCAUAUUUCUUUAACUUUGUUUAGUGGCUGA
rnacentral:sRNA from 1 species